rnacentral:rRNA from 1 species
GCGCCUAACACAUGCAAGUCGAACGAGAAAGCGGGAGCAAUCUCGCAAGUAAAGUGGCGUACGGGUGAGUAACACGUGGAUCAUCUGCCCUGGAGUGUGGAAUAACGCUGGGAAACCGGCGCUAAUACCGCAUAUUCCCGAGAGGGGAAAGCAGCAAUGCGCUCGAGGAGGAGUCCGCGGCCGAUUAGCUAGUUGGCAGGGUAAAAGCCUACCAAGGCUGUGAUCGGUAGCCGGCCUGAGAGGGCACACGGCCACACUGGCACUGAAACACGGGCCAG